rnacentral:rRNA from 1 species
GCUGAACGCUGGCGGCGUGCCUAAUACAUGCAAGCCGAGCGAAGCGGGCCCGGGUGAGUAACACGUGGAUAACCCCCUAUAAGACUGGGUUAACUUCCGGAAACCGGCGCUAAACCGGAUACUUAUCGAUGGAUCCGCGCUGCAUUAGCUAGUUGGUAAUGUAACGGCUUACCAAGGCAACGAUGCAUAGCAGACCUGGGAGUGUGGUCGGCACCGCUGGAGCUGAGACAGGGUCCAGGCUCCUGAGGAUGGCAGCAGUAGGGAAUCUUCCGCGAUGGGCGAAAGCUUGACGGAGGAAUGCCGCAUGAGUGAUGAAUGUCUGCGGAACGGAAACCCCUUUUAUUUGGGAAGCGGUACCUACUCAGAAAGCCCCGGCUAACUACGUGCCAGCAGCCGCGGUAAUAC